rnacentral:rRNA from 1 species
UUUGUUACUUCAAACCAAUCGGACUUCGGUCUGACAUCAAGUGAUAUUGAACAAUUUAGCUGAUCGCACGGUCUAAGAACCGGCGACAUAUCCUCCAAAUGUCUGCCUUAUCAACUUUCGAUGGUAGAUUAUGCGCCUACCAUGGUUGUAACGGGUAACGGAGAAUCAGGGUUUGAUUCCGGAGAGGGAGCCUGAGAAACGGCUACCACAUCCAAGGAAGGCAGCAGGCACGCAAAUUACCCACUCCCGGCACGGGGAGGUAGUGACGAAAAAUAACAAGCUGGUCUCAAUGAGUUCCAGCAUUGUAAUGGGAACAAUUUAAAUCUUUUAUCGAGGAUCUAUUGGAGGGCAAGUCUGGUGCCAGCAGCCGCGGUAAUUCCAGCUCCAAUAGCGCAUAUUAAAGUUGUUGCGGUUAAAAAGCUCGUAGUUGGAUCUAGGAUUAGGGCUACGGUCGUUCAGCUUGGACGUACUGUAUGCCCGACUCCUUUUCUCUAGUAUUCGAUUGUUGCUCUUAAAUGAGUGACUUUAGUUGCUGGAACUUUUACCUUGAAAAAAUUGAAGUGCUCAAAGCAGGUU